rnacentral:tRNA from 1 species
GCCGACGUAGCUCAGUUGGUAGAGCAAGGGAUUCAUAAGCCCUGGGUCGCUGGUUCGAGUCCAGCCGUCGGCAUCC